UACGAAGGGGGCUAGCGUUGUUCGGAAUUACUGGGCGUAAAGGGCGCGCAGGCGGCCUAUCAAGUCAGAUGUGAAAGCCCCGGGCUCAACCUGGGAACUGCAUUUGAGACUGAUAGGCUUGAGUUCGGGAGAGGAGAGCGGAAUUCCCAGUGUAGAGGUGAAAUUCGUAGAUAUUGGGAAGAACACCGGUGGCGAAGGCGGCUAUCUGGACCGUAACUGACGCUGAGGCGCGAAAGCGUGGGGAGCAAACAGG
rnacentral:rRNA from 1 species